CCUACGGGUGGCAGCAGUGAGGAAUAUUGGUCAAUGGGCGCAAGCCUGAACCAGCCAAGUCGCGUGAGGGAUGACGGUCCUAUGGAUUGUAAACCUCUUUUGUCGGGGAGCAAGGCCCGCCACGUGUGGCGGGAAGGAGAGUACCCGAAGAAAAAGCAUCGGCUAACUCCGUGCCAGCAGCCGCGGUAAUACGGAGGAUGCGAGCGUUAUCCGAAUUUAUUGGGUUUAAAGGGUGCGUAGGCGGAAGGUAAAGUAAGCGUUCAAAUUGCGGUUCUAAACAUCGACCUGCCGUUGAAACGGGUGUUCUAGAGUGAGCGAGAGGUAGGUGGAAUGCGUGGUGUAGGGGUGAAAUGCGUAGAUAUCACGCAGAACUCGGAUUGCGAAGGCAGCAUACCGGCGCUCAACUGACGCUGAGGCACGAAAGCGUGGGGAUCGAACAGGAUUAGAUACCCUUGUAGUC
rnacentral:rRNA from 1 species